rnacentral:rRNA from 1 species
AGCGAACGCUGGCGGCAGGCUUAACACAUGCAAGUCGAGCGCGCCGCAAGGGGAGCGGCAGACGGGUGAGUAACACGUGGGAACGUGCCUUUUGGUUCGGAACAACCCAGGGAAACUUGGGCUAAUACCGGAUAAGCCCUUACGGGGAAAGAUUUAUCGCCAAAAGAUCGGCCCGCGUCUGAUUAGCUAGUUGGUGGGGUAAUGGCCCACCAAGGCUACGAUCAGUAGCUGGUCUGAGAGGAUGAUCAGCCACAUUGGGACUGAGACACGGCCCAAACUCCUACGGGAGGCAGCAGUGGGGAAUAUUGGACAAUGGGGGCAACCCUGAUCCAGCCAUGCCGCGUGAGUGAUGAAGGCCUUAGGGUUGUAAAGCUCUUUUAGCAGGGAAGAUAAUGACGGUACCUGCAGAGAAAGCUCCGGCUAACUUCGUGCCAGCCGCCGCCGUAA